CGCUGGCGGCAGGCCUAACACAUGCAAGUCGAGCGCCCCGCAAGGGGAGCGGCGGACGGGUUAGUAACGCGUGGGAAUGUACCCUUUUCUACGGAAUAGCCUCGGGAAACUGAGAUUAAUACCGUAUACGCCCGGUAACGGGGAAAGAUUUAUCGGAGAAGGAUCAGCCCGCGUAAGAUUAGAUAGUUGGUGGGGUAAUGGCCUACCAAGUCUACGAUCUUUAGCUGGUUUGAGAGGAUGAUCAGCAACACUGGGACUGAGACACGGCCCAGACUCCUACGGGAGGCAGCAGUGGGGAAUCUUAGACAAUGGGCGCAAGCCUGAUCUAGCCAUGCCGCGUGAGUGAAGAAGGCCUUAGGGUCGUAAAGCUCUUUCAGUGGGGAAGAUAAUGACGGUACCCACAGAAGAAACCCCGGCUAACUCCGUG
rnacentral:rRNA from 1 species